CUACGGGCUGCUGCAGUGAGGAAUAUUGCACAAUGGGGGGAACCCUGAUGCAGCAACGCCGCGUGGAGGAUGACGCAUUUCGGUGUGUAAGCUCCUUUUAUAUGUCAAGAAAAUGACGGUAGCAUAUGAAUAAGCACCGGCUAACUCCGUGCCAGCAGCCGCGGUAAUACGGAGGGUGCAAGCGUUACUCGGAAUCACUGGGCGUAAAGGACGCGUAGGCGGGUUGGAAAGUCAGGUGUGAAAUCCUACAGCUUAACUGUAGAACUGCACUUGAAACUUCUAAUCUAGAGUAUGGGAGGGGGAGAUGGAAUUAGUGGUGUAGGGGUAAGAUCCGUAGAUAUCACUAGGAAUACCUAAAGCGAAGGCGAUCUCCUGGAACAUUACUGACGCUAAGGCGUGAAAGCGUGGGGAGCAAACAGGAUUAGAUACCCGGGUAGUC
rnacentral:rRNA from 1 species